GAGAGGUUCUCUCGUUAAAUGUUAAUAAAAAUAAAUCAAAACCCAAAAUUAUUAGGAGAACUGGCUCUGUGGAGAAAGUUUUGGGAACCGGCUCUCUGUCGUCUCUCUCUUUUGUACGUAUCACCAUUGCGAGUUCGUUUCACCAAAUCGGAGACCCAAUUAUAUAUGUUUUUGUCCCCAAUCCAACCUCCCACCAAACCCUCGCUUCGUUCUCUCGAAACAAUUGGGUUCUUCUUUCACCGCCGAUCCAAUUAUCCCACCGCCGAAUCAGAUCGUCAUCGUUAUCAGUGGUCCGAGCGGAGUUGGCAAAGACGCAGUGAUCAACAAGCUUUGUCAAGUUCGUGAAGAGAUUAGGCAUCUAAAGAACUUUGAUUACGUUGUGGUGAAUGCGAAAGGGGGCUUGAUGAUGCGGUUAAUCGCGUGGAAUCCAUUAUCAAUGCUGAGAAAUCGAUAGUUCAUCAAAGGAUUGUCAGGAUUUGAUGUGCAGUGUUGUUGAUUCGGAUCCCAUAAAUGUUGUAAAGGGAUUUUGAAGAAGAAGAGUUAGUUUGUUUGGGUGCAAGAUCCAUUAGUGACAAAAGGAGGAAGCUUGAUACCUCUUUUUGGGAGCACGCCUACUACUUGCAGUUCAAAAAGUUAGCUCAAGCUUAUGAAGUUCUUAGUGACCUGGAGAAGUGGGAGAUUUAUGACCAGUAUGGAGAGGAUGCACUCAAGGAAGGAAAUUGUGGUGGAGGAGGUAGACAUGAUCCAUUUGAUAUUUUCUCAUCCUUUUUUGGUGGAAGCCCGUUUGGUGUAGCUAUGUUAAUAGCUAUAUGUAUCCUAGGUUCAUAAUAAUAUGAAUUAGCUGAAGCCUGAACUUUACUUUGCUGUCCUAAGCCGGUGGUUUUGUGAGCAACAUGCCACACUUUGAACCUUAUACAUGAUUCUUCAUUGAAAAACCAUGUAUUGUAACCAAACAAAAAUACAUAAAUAUGUAUUAUUUUACAAA